rnacentral:tRNA from 1 species
AGAUCGUUAGUUUAAUUUUUUAGAAUAUUAUUUUGCAAAAAUAAUGGAGUUGUUACACGAUUUU